rnacentral:rRNA from 2 species
CUCUGGUAUUGAUUGGUGCUUGCAUCAUGAUUUACAUUUGAGUGAGUGGCGAACUGGUGAGUAACACGUGGGAAACCUGCCCAGAAGCGGGGGAUAACACCUGGAAACAGAUGCUAAUACCGCAUAACAACUUGGACCGCAUGGUCCGAGUUUGAAAGAUGGCUUCGGCUAUCACUUUUGGAUGGUCCCGCGGCGUAUUAGCUAGAUGGUGAGGUAACGGCUCACCAUGGCAAUGAUACGUAGCCGACCUGAGAGGGUAAUCGGCCACAUUGGGACUGAGACACGGCCCAAACUCCUACGGGAGGCAGCAAUAGGGAAUCUUCCACAAUGGACGAAAGUCUGAUGGAGCAACGCCGCGUAAGUGAAGAAGGGUUUCGGCUCGUAAAACUCUGUUGUUAAAGAAGAACAUAUCUGAGAGUAACUGUUCAGGUAUUGACGGUAUUUAACCAGAAAGCCACGGCUAACUACGUGCCAGCAGCCGCGGUAAUACGUAGGUGCCAAGCGUUGUCCGGAUUUAUUGGGCGUAAAGCGAGCGCAGGCGGUUUUUUAAGUCUGAUGUGAAAGCCUUCGGCUCAACCGAAGAAGUGCAUCGGAAACUGGGAAACUUGAGUGCAGAAGAGGACAGUGGAACUCCAUGUGUAGCGGUGAAAUGCGUAGAUAUAUGGAAGAACACCAGUGGCGAAGGCGGCUGUCUGGUCUGUAACUGACGCUGAGGCUCGAAAGUAUGGGUAGCAAACAGGAUUAGAUACCCUGGUAGUCCAUACCGUAAACGAUGAAUGCUAAGUGUUGGAGGGUUUCCGCCCUUCAGUGCUGCAGCUAACGCAUUAAGCAUUCCGCCUGGGGAGUACGGCCGCAAGGCUGAAACUCAAAGGAAUUGACGGGGGCCCGCACAAGCGGUGGAGCAUGUGGUUUAAUUCGAAGCUACGCGAAGAACCUUACCAGGUCUUGACAUACUAUGCAAAUCUAAGAGAUUAGACGUUCCCUUCGGGGACAUGGAUACAGGUGGUGCAUGGUUGUCGUCAGCUCGUGUCGUGAGAUGUUGGGUUAAGUCCCGCAACGAGCGCAACCCUUAUUAUCAGUUGCCAGCAUUAAGUUGGGCACUCUGGUGAGACUGCCGGUGACAAACCGGAGGAAGGUGGGGAUGACGUCAAAUCAUCAUGCCCCUUAUGACCUGGGCUACACACGUGCUACAAUGGAUGGUACAACGAGUUGCGAACUCGCGAGAGUAAGCUAAUCUCUUAAAGCCAUUCUCAGUUCGGAUUGUAGGCUGCAACUCGCCUACAUGAAGUCGGAAUCGCUAGUAAUCGCGGAUCAGCAUGCCGCGGUGAAUACGUUCCCGGGCCUUGUACACACCGCCCGUCACACCAUGAGAGUUUGUAACACCCAAAGUCGGUGGGGUAACCUUUUUAGGAACCAGCCGCCUAAGGUGGGACAGAUGAUUAGGGUGAAGUCGUAACAAGGUAACCCG